UCAGUGUCAAAUGCAUCAGGAUGGUCAAAGUUAUAUUCAUGAACUCGUGUAAGUUCCUCUUCAGUCAGAUUGUGGUAAAAUGAAUCCUGGUUAACAAGUACAACACGCUGAUCAUGAAGCUGUUGAAUAAUCAUAUCACAAACUGUAGUCUUUCCAGAAGCCGCCCCCCCAGCAACCCCAAUGACAAAAGGUUGCUUAUAUAUCUUUUCAGUUGAAGAGGUUGUUGGUUGCCCCAUCUCUGUAUUCCUUGACUCCAAACCAUCCAUAUGAAACCCAGAAAAAUGGACCCCAGAGGAUGCCUCUAUCAUAUCCACAACUGAUUUAGAACCCAUUGGAAUAGACCUUAUGUAAACUCGAAUCAGAAACGAANUAGAGAGAUUCAAUUUACCUUUAUUUUAUCGUAAUUAUUUUUGUUAAAAAAAAAAUUCAAU
rnacentral:misc_RNA from 1 species